AGGAUUUCAGGCUUGGGGUGGCCACAUGUUGCAGGAUAGCAGGAAGAGUUGGAUGUGUUCUGCAGAGACCAGGAGAGGGAGCUACAAUGGCAGGAGAAGAAUGCAACGAGGUGCGGUCUUCUGUUCGAUGCCAAGGGCCUGUCCGGCAGUGAUUUCCUCGGGAUGAUCUAGAUGAUAUAACAAAAGGAUUAUAUAUGCAUUUGUGUGCUUCAGAAAAGGUUACUGCUACAUUCAACUUUUCACCAGAAAUGAUUCGUAUAUCCUGAAGAUGUUGCUAGCGUCUUGAAGGAUUACUUAUAUUUGCUCCCUAAUUUCCUGGAUUAUACGAAGUACAUUUAGAAGUCACAAUAGAGAAGGUUCGUAGCCUUGGCUCCAAAGCUUCAAGCUCUUAUAGAAAUUAGAA